rnacentral:sRNA from 1 species
GAGAACGGAACUUCUCCCGUAGAGAGAAGUCAGUUCCGGCGUUUCGGGGAGGAAACGCUCGUUAAUUAAAAAUAAAAAAGCUCGCCGGGUCUUAUCCCCCCUGUGCGAGCUUUUUUUUGC